rnacentral:rRNA from 1 species
AGUGAACGCUGGCGGUAGGCCUAACACAUGCAAGUCGAACGGCAGCACAGUAAGAGCUUGCUCUUACGGGUGGCGAGUGGCGGACGGGUGAGGAAUACAUCGGAAUCUACUUUUUCGUGGGGGAUAACGUAGGUAAACUUACGCUAAUACCGCAUACGACCUACGGGUGAAAGCAGGGGAUCUUCGGACCUUUCGCGAUUGAAUGAGCCGAUGUCGGAUUAGCUAGUUGGCGGGGUAAAGACCCACCAAGGCGACGAUCCGUAGCUGGUCUGAGAGGAUGAUCAGCCACACUGGAACUGAGACACGGACCAGACUCCUACGGGAGGCAGCAGUGGGGAAUAUUGGACAAAGGGCGCAAGCCUGAUCCAGCCAUACCGCGUGGGUGAAGAAGGCCUUCGGGUCGUAAAGCCCUUUUGUUGGGAAAGAAAAGCAGCAGGUUAAUACCCCGCUGUUCUGACGGUACCCAAAGAAUAAGCACCGGCUAACUUCGUG